rnacentral:SRP_RNA from 1 species
GCUGGGCACCAUGGCAUGUGCCUGUAGUCCCAGCUACUCGGGAGGAUGAGGCUGGAGGAUCUCUUGAGUCCAGGAGUUCUGGACUGUAGUGCGCUAUGCCAAUUGGGUGUCCGCACUAAGUUCAGCAUCAAUAUGGUGACCUCCUGGGAGUGAGGGAUCACCAGGUUGCCUAAGGAGGGGUGAACCAGCCCAGGUCGGAAACGGAGCAGGUCAAAACUCCCGUGCUGAUCAGUAGUGAGAUCGCACCUGUGAAUAGCCACUGCACGCCAGCCUGGGCAACAUAGCAAGACUCCGUCUCU